UCUCUGCCAUCGCUUCUGAGAUACCAUAUUCUUGUAGGUCAUCCAUGGAAGAACCAAAGGAAAAAGAGCGGACAUCGGCUGAUCGUUGUUCUUUAUCUGCAGGCUUUCUAGCUGCAGCAGUUGAAACCAUUGCUUAUAUGCAAAGAGUUGGGAUGCUUGUCUGAAGAAAAGCUCAACUAUAUGCUCCUUCUCAGCAUAAGCUCGCUUUGCUGCAAUCUCGGCUUCCCUAGCACGGGUUUGAGAAUGUAGCAACGCAUCCAUUAGUUCAGCUUUGCUAGUAUUAUCCUCGGAAGUUGGCAUUGUUUUUGUCAAGUUGUUGGGAUUUGUACAGCUCGAAGAUUUAUGAGACCCACGCAGCGAGUUCCCUUGUUCAAUUGAUUCACCCAGGUCUCUCUGUGUUCUGCCAAAACGACAAAAAUCUGAUCCACAAUUUCGGUGCGUUGACUCGAAGGUAGCAACCAAAUUUGUAUCAUGCUCAUAGUGUUGUUUUUUAGCAUAAGGGUAUCUCUUAAAGUUCAAGCAAGUUUUUUUAGGAGGCGGAAGAUCACAAUUCUCGAUAUGAUCAAGAGAUUUCUGUGCAACCCAAUAGGCCAAUUCAUCUUUAUCCGUUAUCCACCACCAUGGCUCAGCCUUGUCCUCUUGAAUCCAAGGAGAAUCUGGAUCGAAGUAAAACUCAUCUUGGUUUUUGGAAACUGUUUUGCUGUGGAAAGAAUCCUUAUCUAAACAUUCGAAGUCUGCUUUCAUAUCUACACUACCAAUACAUUCUUG
rnacentral:misc_RNA from 1 species